UCGCGGCUUAUCACCGGCAGUCCCCUUAGAGUGCCCAACUAAAUGCUGGCAACUAAGGGCGAGGGUUGCGCUCGUUGCGGGACUUAACCCAACAUCUCACGACACGAGCUGACGACGGCCAUGCAGCACCUGUGUUCUGGUUCUCUUUCGAGCACUCCCAAAUCUCUUCAGGAUUCCAGACAUGUCAAGGGUAGGUAAGGUUUUUCGCGUUGCAUCGAAUUAAACCACAUCAUCCACCGCUUGUGCGGGCCCCCGUCAAUUCCUUUGAGUUUUAAUCUUGCGGCCGUACUCCCCAGGCGGUGCGCUUACCGCGUUGGCUACGACACUGAGUGGCUAGGCCACCCAACAUCCAGCGCACAUCGUUUACGGCGUGGACUAC
rnacentral:misc_RNA from 1 species